UACGUAGGGGGCUAGCGUUGUCCGGAUUUAUUGGGCGUAAAGAGCGUGUAGGCGGCCAGGUAGGUCUGCUGUGAAAACUCGAGGCUCAACCUCGAGACGUCGGCGGAAACCAUCUGGCUAGAGUCCGGAAGAGGAGAGUGGAAUUCCUGGUGUAGCGGUGAAAUGCGCAGAUAUCAGGAAGAACACCCGUGGCGAAGGCGCCCUGCUGGACCAUAACUGACACUCAGGGACGAAAGCUAGGGGAGCGAAUGGG
rnacentral:rRNA from 1 species